rnacentral:rRNA from 1 species
UACAGAGGGUGCGAGCGUUAAUCGGAAUUACUGGGCGUAAAGCGUGCGCAGGCGGUUCUCCAAGUCCGUUGUGAAAGCCCCGGGCUCAACCUGGGAAUGGCAGUGGAAACUAGGGGACUGGAAUCUGGCAGAGGGGGGUGGAAUGCCGCGUGUAGCAGUGAAAUGCGUAGAGAUGCGGCGGAACACCGAUGGCGAAGGCAGCCCCCUGGGCGUGAGAUUGACACUGAUGAGCGAAAGCUAGGGGAGCAAACGGG